AUUGAACGCUGGCGGCAUGCCUUACACAUGCAAGUCGAACGGCAGCACGGGAGCAAUCCUGGUGGCGAGUGGCGAACGGGUGAGUAAAGUAUCGGAACGUGCCCAGUCGUGGGGGAUAACGUAGCGAAAGUUACGCUAACACCGCAUACGAUCUCUGGAUGAAAGCGGGGGAUCGCAAGACCUCGCGCAGUUGGAGCGGCCGAUAUCAGAUUAGGUAGUUGGUGGGGUAAAGGCUCACCAAGCCGACGAUCUGUAGCUGGUCUGAGAGGACGACCAGCCACACUGGGACUGAGACACGGCCCAGACUCCUACGGGAGGCAGCAGUGGGGAAUUUUGGACAAUGGGCGAAAGCCUGAUCCAGCCAUGCCGCGUGCAGGAUGAAGGCCUUCGGGUUGUAAACUGCUUUUGUACGGAACGAAAAGGUUUGGCCUAAUAAGCUGAGCUCAUGACGGUACCGUAAGAAUAAGCACCGGCUAACUACGUGCCAGCCGCCGCGGUAA
rnacentral:rRNA from 1 species